CAAGUGAUCGGUGUCACUAGCUUCGGUCAAGGUUGCGCAAUGGGAAUUCCUGGCGUUUAUACUAGAGUGUCCCAUUAUCUUCAGUGGAUCGAAGAAAAUGUCUGGCCAGGAGAAGAAUAACUUAUUUGAUUCUUACGAAAGAAAAGUUAACUUGCUCUAAUUAUUGCCUAUUGAGAGAAUUAAAGAUUGCAAAUGACUGAUUGAAUAUAUUACUUCAUUAUCUAUUGUACUGCAGUUGAAUAGUCCGUAAUUUUAACUAGAAUAUUGAAACAUAAAACCGUGAUUCUGAUUAGAAUAUUAAAAAACUCAUAAUAGAAAAUUGGUGAGUAAGUAUGGAUUAUUAUACUAUGCGAGAUUAGUAUUAAUCUUUUAAACUUUAAAAAUCAAGACAUUAUACUAUAUACUAUUGUAAAUAGUUCGCCAUGUAAGCCCAUUGCCAUAAAAGCUAUAAAUUAAUGUAACUAAGAUAUGCCAUCAGUCCUCUUCAACAGCUAGUAAACAUUAUGACGAUGAAUUAUAUAAAUUUUUUGACGAUGAAAAUAGUGAAAAAUGUAUUUCAUAGUAAUAAAUAAAUACGUACAUUACGUUGACCAUACAAA